rnacentral:rRNA from 1 species
GACGAACGCUGGCGGCGUGCUUAACACAUGCAAGUCGAACGGAAAGGCCCUGCUUUUGUGGGGUGCUCGAGUGGCGAACGGGUGAGUAACACGUGAGUAACCUGCCCUUGACUUUGGGAUAACUUCAGGAAACUGGGGCUAAUACCGGAUAGGAGCUCCUGCUGCAUGGUGGGGGUUGGAAAGUUUCGGCGGUUGGGGAUGGACUCGCGGCUUAUCAGCUUUUUGGUGGGGUAGUGGCUUACCAGGGGUUUGACGGGUAGCCGGCCUGAGAGGGGGACCGGCGACAAUGGGACUGAGAGACGGAGCAGACUCCUACGGGAGGCAGCAGUGGGGAAUAUGGCACAAUGGGCGGAAGCCUGAUGCAGCAACGCCGCGUGCGGGAUGACGGCCUUCGAGUGGUAAACCGCCUUCGCCUGUGACGAAGCGGGAGUGACGGUAAUGGGUAAAGAAGCACCGGCUAACUACGUG